GACGAACGCUGGCGGCGUGCCUAAUACAUGCAAGUCGAGCGGACUACACCUUCGGGUGUGGUUAGCGGCGGACGGGUGAGUAACACGUAGGCAACCUGCCUUUAAGAUCGGGAUAACUAUCGGAAACGAUAGCUAAGACCGGAUAACUGGUUUUCUCGCAUGAGAGAAUUAUGAAACACGGAGCAAUCUGUGGCUUAAAGAUGGGCCUGCGGCGCAUUAGCUAGUUGGUGAGGUAACGGCUCACCAAGGCGACGAUGCGUAGCCGACCUGAGAGGGUGAACGGCCACACUGGGACUGAGACACGGCCCAGACUCCUACGGGAGGCAGCAGUAGGGAAUCUUCCGCAAUGGACGCAAGUCUGACGGAGCAACGCCGCGUGAGUGAUGAAGGUUUUCGGAUCGUAAAGCUCUGUUGCCCUAGACGAACAGCAUGAGGAGUAACUGCCUUGUGUGUGACGGUAUAGGAGAAGAAAGCCCCGGCUAACUACGUGCCAGCCGCCGCCGUAACAC
rnacentral:rRNA from 1 species